UACGGGGGGGGUAAGCGUUGUUCGGAAUUACUGGGCGUAAAGGGCUCGUAGGCGGCCAACUAAGUCAGACGUGAAAUCCCUCAGCUUAACUGGGGAACUGCGUCUGAUACUGGAUGGCUUGGAUUCGGGAGAGGAAUGCGGAAUUCCAGGUGUAGCGGUGAAAUGCGUAGAUAUCAGGAAGAACACCCGUGGCGAAGGCGGCUCUCUGGGACGGUACUGACGCUGAGACGCGAAAGCGUGGGGAGCAAACAGG
rnacentral:rRNA from 1 species